rnacentral:rRNA from 1 species
CCUACGGGAGGCAGCAGUAGGGAAUCUUUCACAAUGGGCGAAAGCCUGAUGGAGCAACGCCGCGUGCAGGAUGAAGGCCUUCGGGUUGUAAACUGCUUUUAUAAGCGAGAAAUAUGAUGUUAACUUAUGAAUAAGGAUCGACUAACUACGUGCCAGCAGCCGCGGUCAUACGUAGGAUCCGAGAAUUAUCCGGAGUGACUGGGUGUAAAGAGUUGCGUAGGUGGCAUAAUAAGUCGCUAGUGGAAUCUGGUGGCUCAACCAUUCAGACUAUUAGCUAAACUGUUCAGCUCGAGACCGUUAGGGGUAACUGGAAUUUCUGGUGUAGGAGUGAAAUCCGUAGAUAUUAGAAGGAACACCAAUAGCGUAGGCAGGUUGCUGGGACGCUUCUGACACUAAGGCACGAAAGCGUAGGGAGCAAACGGGAUUAGAUACCCCAGUAGUC